rfam:Ictidomys tridecemlineatus contig078110, whole genome shotgun sequence.
GGGGUUAUAGCUCAGUGGUAGAGCACUUGCCUCUCAGGUGAGGGGCCCUGGGUUCGAUUCUCAGCACCA